rnacentral:rRNA from 1 species
UACGGAAGGCAGCAGUGGGGAAUAUUGCACAAUGGGCGAAAGCCUGAUGCAGCUAUGCCGCGUGUAUGAAGAAGGCCUUAGGGUUGUAAAGUACUUUCAUCGGGGAGGAAAAACAAAACUAAUAAUUUUAUUUCUUGACGUUACCCGAAAAAGAAGCACCGGCUAACUCCGUGCCGGCAGCCGCGGUAAUACGGAGGGUGCUAGCGUUAAUCAGAAUUACUGGGCGUAAAGAGCACGUAGGUGGUUUUUUUAAGUCAGAUGUGAAAUCCCUGGGCUUAACCUGGAACUGCAUUUUGAAACUGAAAUACUAGAGUAUCGUAGAGGGAGGUAGAAUUCUAGGUGUAGCGGUGAAAUGCGUAGAUAUCUGGAGGAAUACCUGUGGCGAAAGCGGCCUCCUAAACGAAUACUGACACUGAGGUGCGAAAGCGUGGGGAGCAAACAGGGAUUAGAUACC